CCUACGGGCGGCAGCAGUAGGGAAUAUUGCUCAAUGGGGGAAACCCUGAAGCAGCAACGCCGCGUGGAGGAUGAAGGUUUUCGGAUGGUAAACUCCUUUUGUUAGAGAAGAUAAUGACGGUAUCUAACGAAAAAGCACCGGCUAACUACGUGCCAGCAGCCGCGGGAAUACGGAGGGUGCAAGGGUUACUCGGAAUCACUGGGCGUAAAGAGCGCGUAGGCGGGAUAGCAAGUCAGAUGUGAAAGCCUAUGGCUUAACCAUGGAACGGCAUUUGAAACUGGUAUUCUAGAGUAUAGGAGAGGAAAGUGGAAUUCUUUGUGUAGGGGUAAAAUCCGUAGAGAUCAGGAGGAAUACUCAUUGCGAAGGCGACCUGCUAGAACGUAACUGACGCUGAUGCGCGAAAGCGUGGGGAGCAAACAGGAUUAGAUACCCUAGUAGUC
rnacentral:rRNA from 1 species